rnacentral:rRNA from 1 species
AGAGUUUGAACCUGGCUCAGGGUGAACGCUGGCGGCGUGCUUAAGACAUGCAAGUCGAACGCGGUCUUCGGACCGAGUGGCGCACGGGUGAGUAACACGUAACUGACNUACCCAGAAGUCACGAAUAACUGGCCGAAAGGUNCGCUAAUACGUGAUGUGGUGAUGCACCGUGGUGCAUCACUAAAGAUUUAUCGCUUCUGGAUGGGGUUGCGUUCCAUCAGCUGGUUGGUGGGGUAAAGGCCUACCAAGGCGACGACGGAUAGCCGGCCUGAGAGGGUGGCCGGCCACAGGGGCACUGAGACACGGGUCCCACUCCUACGGGAGGCAGCAGUUAGGAAUCUUCCACAAUGGGCGCAAGCCUGAUGGAGCGACGCCGCGUGAGGGAUGAAGGUUUUCGGAUCGUAAACCUCUGAAUCUGGGACGAAAGAGCCUUAGGGCAGAUGACGGUACCA